GAUGAGCGCUGGCGGCGUGCCUAAUACAUGCAAGUCGAGCGAACAGACGAGGAGCUUGCUCCUCUGACGUUAGCGGCGGACGGGUGAGUAACACGUGGAUAACCUACCUAUAAGACUGGGAUAACUUCGGGAAACCGGAGCUAAUACCGGAUAAUAUAUUGAACCGCAUGGUUCAAUAGUGAAAGACGGUUUUGCUGUCACUUAUAGAUGGAUCCGCGCCGCAUUAGCUAGUUGGUAAGGUAACGGCUUACCAAGGCAACGAUGCGUAGCCGACCUGAGAGGGUGAUCGGCCACACUGGAACUGAGACACGGUCCAGACUCCUACGGGAGGCAGCAGUAGGGAAUCUUCCGCAAUGGGCGAAAGCCUGACGGAGCAACGCCGCGUGAUUGAUGAAGGUCUUCGGAUCGUAAAACUCUGUUAUUAGGGAAGAACAAAUGUGUAAGUAACUAUGCACGUCUUGACGGUACCUAAUCAGAAAGCCACGGCUAACUACGUG
rnacentral:rRNA from 1 species